GAGACGGUUAAUUUUUGUCUUCGGAUUUUGCUUUUUUCGAAAUUUGAAUUCUCUUUAUAACGGAACCAAGGCCGUUUGAAGAAGAAGAAGAGCCGUAAACAAAUCUUUCUCUCAUUUUGAAGCCCUAAAAUUCUUCUCUUCGCAACUUGUCUCUAGAAGUUUCGCAUCAAUGCCUUUUUCGUUUUCCGGCGAUUAAACACUAGAAAUGGCGUUCGCUAAGGUUAUCAAUUCUAAGGAAGAUAAAGAAUAUUCUGAAUUCGUCAACUUCACUGGUGAUGGUGGAUAGUAAUCGAAGAUAAAAAAAAUGGUUACGUGCUCCUCUGUUCUCGGGUUAGAUUUGCUCUGGAUCAAUGUUUCUUCGAAGCAUCUAAGGUUUUACUAUGUUGGCGUGAAGCUGUAUGGGAAGCUCAUUGUGGAGAAUAUAAAUAAUUUAAUAUGGUCAAUUUAGUUUUUGAUGAAGAACAGAUCAGUGGUGAGUUCUCCUACAAUUUUCGUCUUCUUGAAAUAUGUUUUUUUUUUGCAAAUUAUUUUGUUGGUUGCUGAUGAUGAUAAUGUAUUAGUGUGGUUCUGGUUCAUCAUAGUUACCAAUUUCAGUAUCGCAAACUAACCUUGAAGUACUGCGAAUCAAGGAAGCGUAAUCAGCGGAGUUCAACUAAGUGUCUAGAAUCAGAUCAGUUCAUACUUCGGCAAAUGGGGUGUGAAGGCAUGCGGGUCUUGACGUAAAAAAUCAUCAUGGCCUGUUUCAUAGCCAAUCAUCUGGAAUCUGAUGAAUGCUGCUCAGAUCCAUGUUUCGGCUUAUGCAGUACCAUAUAGAAAUUUUAUAGGAAGGGACGAUUGAAGGAAAAGUUACAUAUGGAAAGAAGUUGAGAUAUUGAGAAGUAAACCGUGUUGGUACAAAGCACACCUUAGUGCUUCAUUCAUUUUUCCCUACUGAUUAUUAGUGUGUGCUUUUGGCAGCCACUGAAUAUGGAGCACUUAGCGUUCACAAGAUGGCAAAGGAUUUGUCUACAUAACAUUGCGCAACUUUUUCUUAAGUUUUGAAGAAAUCGAAGUAGACAAGUUAGUGGAAAUCUUGAUUUGGUUGUUGUGUGCAGUUCCUGAUUGGAUGAGAAGAAAGUGCAGGUUCUGCAACAAGUCACUCACAUAUCUUCGAAUGCCAAAUUUUUUUAAACACUUGUGAUCGAGUUGCUGAAGUGUCCUAUUGCUUUCUGCGAAGCUUUUGGUUCUGGAUUUGUUUUCGAGAGGCUUUACAAAAACAUGAAAGCGCAACUAAAUUCCAAGGUUCUUCUGCUAACUUAAGAGUUUUUUCUUUCAUGAUUUGAUAGAUUCUUGUAAAGAUCUUGGGAUGCAAUCAACCUUUUGGGUGCUUUUCACAAGUUUUUUAGCUAAGACAUCAAAAUGGUUUCUUAAGCCUGCACUUAUCGCUGAAUAUGAGAAAACCCCUUUUGAGCUUCGAAGAGAGAUAAGACCAAGAGAAGAAAUCAGUAGCAGGAUUACCCCUGUCUUUUUAAGGGCUUUAAAACUCCUAACUGGAAGGUGCGUGUGGAGUCAACUGAAGCUGUAAAUAAAAUUUCAGAAGAAGCUAAUAAACAUAUCCACCCAACUGGAAUUGGUAUGAGAUUCCUUACAUAGCUCUAAUAGAUGGGAAAUGGGAGCAGAAGGAUGUAAAGAUCUUUUUGAUUGGUUGAAAGAAAAAUCAACUGUUGUGUGAAAAUCAGGAUAAAGAUGCAUUUCCGAGAUCUUGAGAGUCAGUGGACAAGAAACUUAUGUUUCUUAACGUUUGUUUUUUUCUAUUCAUGGCUGGAACUAGUAGCUGAUUCAUGUGCCUGAAAAAGUAUGUCCAAGAUUUAUUCAAGUGACAAAAGGUGUUUCAUGAUUUCAAAAUCGACUUCUAGUGGUACCUUGAAGCAAGGAAAACAAAACAAGCUACAACACUUUAAUGGAUUAAAUUCGAAGUAUAGAAUCGCAUUCUCGAAGUGUUGGGAGAAUUGGGUCUUUUUAUCACAUAACUCCUCAAGACAAAUCUGUGCGUAGUCGACUGAGUUACUACAAAUGAAGAGUCAGUAAUAUCGACCAUGGGAAGAGAAGUACAAGGUCUUUCAUGUGAGGACAAGUGCAUGUUUAAGUGUGGUGGUCUUUAUGUCCCUGAAGAUGCAUGCAUCAAUCCAUGUAUACGUGAGCAUUGCCACAAACCACCAAGUCAUCGAGUUCAAUCACUACAGGUGGAGACCGCAGGGAUGAGAAACCCCAGAGAGUAGAAACAUGCAUCGAGAAUAUUAUUGAUAUAUUUGUAUGCUAAUCAAAAUCAUCAUUUAAAUAAAAACUUUUGGCUUUAAGAAAUAAUUGAUACAAAAAGUGUUCCAAAAAAGUUUGCACAACAAAAUCAUCGACUAAAAAGAAUGUACUCAAAUAAAUACAUAUAUACUCUUCCCAUGCUAA